rnacentral:tRNA from 1 species
GCCUGGGGAGCUCAAUCAGGUGGGCGUCUGACUUAGGCUCAGGAGGUGAUGUCAUGGUUCGUGAGUUCGAACCCCACGUCAGGCU